GAUGAACGCUGGCGGCGUGCCUAAUACAUGCAAGUCGAGCGAACGGACGAGAAGCUUGCUUCUCUGAUGUUAGCGGCGGACGGGUGAGUAACACGUGGAUAACCUACCUAUAAGACUGGGAUAACUUCGGGACACCGGAGCUAAUACCGGAUAAUAUUUUGAACCGCAUGGUUCAAAAGUGAAAGACGGUCUUGCUGUCACUUAUAGAUGGAUCCGCGCUGCAUUAGCUAGUUGGUAAGGUAACGGCUUACCAAGGCAACGAUGCAUAGCCGACCUGAGAGGGGGGUCGGCCACACGAGAGCUGGGACACGGUCCAGAGUCCUGCGGGAGGCAGCAGUAGGGAAUCUUCCGCAAAGGGCGAAAGCCUGACGGAGCAACGCCGCGUGAGUGAUGGAGGUCUUCGGAUCGUAAAACUCUGUUAUUAGGGAAGAACAUAUGUGUAAGUAACUGUGCACAUCUUGACGGUACCUAAUCAGAAAGCCACGGCUAACUACGUG
rnacentral:rRNA from 1 species